AUACAUGCAGUCGAGCGAAUGGAUUAAGAGCUUGCUCUUAUGAAGUUAGCGGCGGACGGGUGAGUAACACGUGGGUAACCUACCCAUAAGACUGGGAUAACUCCGGGAAACCGGGGCUAAUACCGGAUAAUAUUUUGAACUGCAUAGUUCGAAAUUGAAAGGCGGCUUCGGCUGUCACUUAUGGAUGGACCCGCGUCGCAUUAGCUAGUUGGUGAGGUAACGGCUCACCAAGGCAACGAUGCGUAGCCGACCUGAGAGGGUGAUCGGCCACACUGGGACUGAGACACGGCCCAGACUCCUACGGGAGGCAGCAGUAGGGAAUCUUCCGCAAUGGACGAAAGUCUGACGGAGCAACGCCGCGUGAGUGAUGAAGGCUUUCGGGUCGUAAAACUCUGUUGUUAGGGAAGAACAAGUGCUAGUUGAAUAAGCUGGCACCUUGACGGUACCUAACCAGAAAGCCACGGCUAACUACGUGCCAGCAGCCGCGGUAAUACGUAGGUGGCAAGCGUUAUCCGGAAUUAUUGGGCGUAAAGCGCGCGCAGGUGGUUUCUUAAGUCUGAUGUGAAAGCCCACGGCUCA
rnacentral:rRNA from 1 species